GUGAUUUUAGUUUACUAAAAUACUUGCUUUGCACGCAAGAGAGCUAGAGCGUUCUAGAGAUCACA
rnacentral:tRNA from 1 species